AUUGAACGCUGGCGGCAGGCCUAACACAUGCAAGUCGAGCGGGGUUUUCGGACCUAGCGGCGGACGGGUGAGUAAUGCGUAGGAAGCUGCCCGAUAGAGGGGGAUACCAGUUGGAAACGACUGUUAAUACCGCAUAAUGUCUACGGACCAAAGUGUGGGACCUCCGGGCAACAUGCUAUCGGAUGCGCCUACGUGGGAUUAGCUAGUUGGUGAGGUAAUGGCUCACAAAGGCGACGAUCUCUAGCUGGUUUGAGAGGAUGAUCAGCCACACUGGAACUGAGACACGGUCCAGACUCCUACGGGAGGCAGCAGUGGGGAAUAUUGGACAAUGGGCGCAAGCCUGAUCCAGCCAUGCCGCGUGUGUGAAGAAGGCCUUCGGGUUGUAAAGCCCUUUCAGCGAGGAGGAAGGGUGGUGUGUUAAUAGCACAUCAUUUUGACGUUACUCGCAGAAGAAGCACCGGCUAACUCUGUGCCAGCAGCCGCGGUAAAAC
rnacentral:rRNA from 1 species